ensembl:lncRNA
GAAGGGAAAAGCUACCCACUCCAGUAUUCUGGCCUGGAGAAUUCCAUGGACUAUAUAGUCCAUGGGGUUGCAAAGAGUUGGACACGGCUGGGCCUAGGGACUUUCACUUUCACUUUCAUACUUAUUGUUGGUAGGAUACAGUGAAGCAUCCUAAUUUACUAGCAUCAUUGUCUUGAUGAGCUCUUGCAAAUAUGACUGAACCUCCCUAACCUAAAAUACUGUUGGGGUAAUAGUCUGAAUCAGUGAAAAAUCAGAUUCCAAGCAUAUUUAUGUGUUUUAAUUACAUAUUUUAUAUUUUUGUUAUUUGUCCUUAAGGUAAGACUAAUGCAUAUUCAUUGCAGAAAAUUUUUAAAUUACACAAGGUAAAUAAAAUAAUUAUCUGCAAAAUAAAUAAUAUCUAGUUGUUUUAUAGCUUAGAAAAAUUAGAAAGCACCUGCAAUCUCAUAAUGUAGAUAUAAAGGAUAUCAAUAUUUUGAUCUAUCACCUUCAAAGAUAUGUAUCAUCCACAUAAAAUGAGAAUUUUACAGAAAAUUGGGAUGUUACUUUAUAUAAAGUUUUGUACCUUUCACGGCCUUAAUUGCUCUUUGAAAAUGUUAUUUUUAGUAGUGCUAAUAUGUUUCAAUGAUGCACAUUUAUGUUGUUUCUGGUUUAUUGUUUUUAAACAAUAAAUAACACUGUGAUGAAUAUCUUUAAAGAAACAUUGAUGAUUUAUUUGUACAGGAUAGAUUCCUAGAGAUGGGAUUACUAUAUCAACAGGAAUUCCAAAAUGCAGUUUGAUUAAAUUAAAAUUAUGUAACUUGAAAAUGAUGAUUGCAUUAUGGCCAAAGUAGGUCAAACAGAGCUUUCUGUUAUGGAUGGCCAGCUUCCUACACACUUCAGGUCUCUAGCACUUGGGUGCUCAGAGCUGUUUGCAGUGAUGGUGUUAUGGAUUCAAGUUUGAAGAGAUAUAGGUAUUGGGAAGUCGAGUACACAGAAACCAAACCUGGCUAAUUUAAGCAGAAAGAAAUGUGUUAAAAUAUUGGGUCACUUUCUGAAUUUCUAGGGACAUCAGAGAACUAGGCCACAUGGCCAGGUAAGCCUCCCAACACAACAGAUCUGGUCCCAAGAAGACUCCACUCCUUUCAUCUUCCUGCCAUGACUACCCCUAGAGUUCACCAUUAAGGCUGCCUCCAGCAGGACUAGAGUGGAUGCCAGGCUCUGGCCUCCCAAGUCACAAUCCAGCAUGGAUGCUGUGAUUGUCAGAGCCUUGUACUUGUCCUCAGUCAGUCAAGCUGCAAGGGAGGCUGAGAAAUCCUGACUCCAGCAUUGGGGAUCGGUGUCUGCUUUCCACCAGGACUUAUCAAGAGGGGGCAGUCCUUGAUCUUGAAGAACAGUUCAGAUGCUGAGCUACCAAAAAAGAGGAACAAAUGCUUAUUAUAGCCAGUAACAAUGUUUGUCAAGCUCCUGGGAAUCCAGGACCUAUUCUAGGAGACGUGAUACUGAUAUUAUAAUAAAACGUUUUGGAGAUCAAGAUUUUCCAAAUGACCAGCAUAUGAUGUUAAAAAAUUAUGUGUGUGUAAGAGAUUCAUUCAAAGUACGUGUAGACCAACAAGUUUUAAUACCACAGAGGACAAAUAUUCAUUUCAUCUUGAUAUACCUUUCUAUUUAUUACAGAACAGCAGCCAGGUCUAAUUUGCCAGCAUUAUCUAGUGCCUAGAGCAGAGUGGGGGCUUUCCUGGUAGCUCACCUGGUGGAGAAUCCAUCUGCAAUGAAGGAGAUCCCGGUUCAAUUCCUGGGUCAGGAAGGGAUAGGCUACCUACUCCCAGUACUCUUUCUUGGGCUUCCCUGGUGGCUCAGAUGGUAAAGAAUCUGCCUGCAAUUUGAGAGACCUGGGUUCAAUCCCUGGGUUGGGAAGAUCCCCUGGAAAAGGGCAUGGCAACCCACUCCAGUAUUCUUGCCUGGAGAAUCCCAGCAACAGAGUAGCCUGGCAGGCUACAGUCCAUGGGGUCACAAAGAGUCGGAUAUGACUGAGUGACUAAUCACAGCACAGCACAGGGCAGAGUGGAUAUGCAAUAGACACUUCUUGAAUGAAUGAAUUAAUUAAUAUUAGACACUGCUUGGUGAAAUGGAUGCUAUCCACUAUUGAGAAUGCUGACACUAAAUUCCAUUUCAUUUCUAUGGGUGCCAUCACUGGGAGUGGAAUAUAGAACAUCAGGUUGGAGACAAAGCAGUCUCCUGGUCUUCACCUUCCAUCCCAUCUUUUUUUUUUUUUUUCCGGGAGGGGGAGUAUUAAAAAAUAAACGGAGACAUACUGACAUUUUUAAGCAUCUGUUUGAAAGUAAAAGUAAAAGUGAAAGUGUUAGACGUUCAGUCGCGUCCAGUUCUUUUUGACCCCGUGGACAAAGCUUGUCAGGCUCCUCUGUCCAUGGGAUUCUCCAAAGCAAGAAUACUAGAGUGGGUUGCCAUGACUUUCCCCAGGGGAUCUUCCCGACCAGGGAUCAAACCUGGGUCCCCCACGUUGCAGGAAGAUUCUUUACCAUCUGAGCCAUCAGGGAAAUAUUUAUCUGAGUAAAUGUCAGUUCCAAUUGGCAGUACCAAACAGGAAGCAGUUAGUAGUUCUUCAUCCAAGGGAGUUAGGGGCAAGAUUUAUUGAGAAGAUUCAGCAAGCAAGUCAAAGAAAGGACUUGACUGGCUAUAGCUUAAGCAGUGCCUUAUUAGGGAAAGCCUAGUUGCUUAGCUGUGAUUGGUUGUCCUUGGGUUUCAUUUCAUAACUUGAAGGCAUUUAUUGGCUUCCUUCUAGUUUGCUUGCAUAGGCUGCUAAGUCAUUGGAGUCUUCUUAGAAUAAUGGUCUUCUUGUUUAAUUAACUUAAUAGAAAAAAUUAUCCAGGCCACACUGUCUUCAUCUUUUUAAUUCCCCCAAAGGAAGUGAGCAUUGGUUUAUAAGCACAUUCUCUCAAAAGAUGAGAAACAAUAAUUUCCAGAUUUAAAAACAAAAACAGAAACCAUAGGUCUGAACAUCUAGGGCACCUGGAUGGAAACGUGAGACUUUUAUGGAGGAUGUUAUUCAGGCAGAGAGGGUUACACAUGCAAGCAAAAGGCAUUAUGGAUCAAUGUUUCUAGGCAUAUGAUCCUUGUCCCCUCUUAUACCACUCUGCUGCUGCCCAUUCUUUGCAAAUAAAAGAAUUUUUAAAGUUGAGGAACUGUUUAUGUAAAUUUAUAGAUGGAAGAGAGGCGUUUGAAAAAGCUGAUUCUGAGUGAUUGCGAUUUUCCAAGUCUGAUUUCCAUUGUUGGAAAAGGAGAGCACGGUAACAGAUGAUGUCAUUAUUGGAACCACAGAAGCACGAGGACGUAGAGGCUCUGCCUUGCCUCAUUCCCGCCUUUGCCAAGCGCUGAAGUGGAACUGUGGAGAUGGAUGGCUUGGGAUAAUUUUUGGCAAGGCACCUGAAUGUCAGAGCGUGUUUUCCAGAAGGCUAUUCCCUUUAAAGACACCCAGGUCUCUAUCAUAUUCUGUAAUUCUUUUUUUUUCUUCUUCUUUGCCAAAUAGAUCACUUCAAGCUGCAGAUAUCCCAAGCACAAAUUACAGUUCAUUCUCACAUCUGAGAUGCCAUAUGCUAACUCCAGCAGUACUUGGAGUUAAAAAGGCAGCAAAGUCAAAAACUUCCUUCUUUGGCUCACUAUGACGCCCACUAAGUCUCACCCAGCAGGACUGUUUAGGAUGGAGAACAGCUUGCCUAAUACAGUCUCAUCUCCAACCCCAUAUGGAGUUGACAUUUUCUCACAGUGGGCCAUUCUCUCACUACUCUGCAGACAUUAACCACUCUGCCUUCCCACAGAUUUUUCAAGUAAUUAGCUGCUUGCUGCCAGCAAACCCAGCCACUUUUGAGGUACAACACAAGUCAUCCUCCAGUCAAUCUCAUAGUUUUUGAAUUGCCGCCAGUUUCCCUUCUCCUGAGAGCUGACAGAUGGGUCCUGUCUCUUUCUGUGGAUGGAGAUGUAGAUGUUUGGAGCUCAGAGCUAAAAUCCAGCAAGUGAUAGAGUUGGACAAGUUCUUCCAGGUCUAUUCCAGUCCUCCUCUUCCCAGUAUCCCCUGAGAUACUGGCACACAGCCCCAGCCAUACAGAGUGUGUAGUAGUAGGUCUUAAUAACUGCUUAUGUUGCUAGGGCUGAAUGCAUUUAAAUACAAAGUGACAGCGGAAUGCUUAGCAUGUGGCAAGCACCGUCCUUAUUAGCACCUGGAAUGUCUGAUACCAGUUGGUUCUCAUAGCAAAGAGAGGAGGAAGGUACAACUACCAUUCCUGUUUAGAGAAGGGGAAACUGAGGCACCAGCUGGUUUAACCAACUUGCCCAAGUUUGCAUUAGUAAGAGUGAGAGCUAGGGGAUUCCCCGGUGGCUCAGCUGGUAAAGAAUCCACCUACGAUGCAGGAGAGCCAGGUUCGAUUCCUGGGUCAGGGAAGAACCCCUGGAGAAAGGAAUGGCAACCAAAUCCUGUAUUCUUGCCUGGAGAAUCCCAUGGACAGAGGAACCUGGCAGGUGACUUGGAGUCACAAAGAGUCGGACAUGCCUGAGUGACUGACACUUUCACUUUUCAGAGCUAUGGGAUGAGCUCUGGCUGUCCUACUUCUAAGCUCAUGUUCCUCAGAGUGAUCAUGACAACAAAAUUAAUAAAACAGCAAAUGCUGUACAACCAGGCAAUAGUCUGAGGAUUCUAUGCAAAUCAGCUCCUAUAAUUUUCAGAAUAGGAGGAAAGUAGACAUAUGAUCCCACUUUUUACACAGGAGUAAGCUGAAACACAGAGACAUUAAGGAGCUUGCUCAAGGUCACACAGCUCUUAACGGGCAGAGCUGGAAUUUGAAUCUAGGCUUCAGAGUGCAUGCAUGCUAAGUUGACUCAGUCAUGUAGGAUUCUUGCAAUCCUGUAGCCCGCCAGAAUCCCAGGGACGGAGGAGCCUGGUGGGCUGCCGUCUAUGGGGUUGCCCAGAGUCGGAUAUGACUGAAGCGACUUAGCAGCAGCAGCAGUAGCAGCUUAUACAUCAUUGCC